GCUGUCUAUCGCGGAUCCGAGGUAACGUAACCGAGGUUAGAAGAGGUCAGGGAAUAGAGAGGAAAUGGGAUGGAGGUAGACUAAGAGUUGGGGAAGAUAGGGUUAGGGAAAAUAGAGGUGAGUAGAGAGUAGAAGAGAAGAAAAAUUGGGGAAGAAGAGUUUAGAGAGUUGGGGGAGAAGAAAGAACUUCAAUAAUUUUCCAUUCAUUGAUAUCCUGUUUACAUGAUAAUAUGGUAUUUAUACUACUUAGUAAAUUGAACUGGAAUGAAAAACACCUAGUCUACGAGGGCUAAACUGUAAUUUGUCAAAAUGGGGGUGGGGGAAUGGGGAAAUGGGGGACGGGUUGAAUUCGGAUGCCUUGUGGGCCUCGGGUGGGCCUUCCCGGUCCAGGAUGUUGGUUAUCGGGCAAGCGGGCGUCGGUUCCGCCCUUCUCCGCACUAUCCGCAACCCGGCGGGUACUGGGCUCGACAUUUUCCCCCGAUCCGCCUACUACUUCUCCUUCGCCCCCAAUUGCGUAGAUCGCGGUCCUCCCAUCUUCCCUCUGUACGCCGACGAUGCCCUAAUCCUCGUCGCUCGCCGGAAUUUCGCCGGAACCAGAACCUGGAGAAGAGCCGCAUCACAGGCAUCACGAAGCACCUGGAGAAGAACCAGAACCCUAGCUGGCACCAGGUGUUCGCCUUCUCCAAGGACUGCAUCCAGGCGAACUUCGUGGGCCGCAUCGUCUUCGACCUCACCGACGUGCCCCUCGCCCCGCAGUGGUACAAGCUCGAGGACAAGAAGGGCGACAAGCUCUCCUCCGGCGUCGGCGGCGGCGAGCUCAUGCUCGCCGUGUGGAUCGGCACCCAAGCCGACGAGGCCUUCCCCGACGCCUGGCACUCCGUCUCCCUCGACGUCCUUGCCGUUGUUACACUGAGGAAGCUCUCGGCGGCGGCAUCUAGGGUUCCGGCGGAGCCGCGACGACCGCGCCGUGUGGCUCGCCGAGAAUCCCCUCUAGCACGCCCAGCUCUCCCUCAACGUCACCGAUCUCUACAUCAGUGGGAUGAUUUGUUCGGAUCUCCAUUCCCAGCAAAUCCCGUGAAGGAACCUCAUGUCUCUUACCCCAAGAAACGGAAGGAUUCUUUGUCAGUCAGAGACAACGAUCAGUUUAUUUUACGUAAAAGAAGAAAAAAAUGGAGUUCAUUGGAAGAGGAGACCUUGAGAAAAUCUGUGGAAAGUCGGGACGGAAGGAGAUAGUUUUAGAUCUGGCAAAGUUUGUAGACAAGGGCGUCCAAGUGAAGCUAACUGGUGGGAGACAAUCCAAGGCCUAAGAAUAUCAGCUCUGGCAGUUAUAGUUGUUUCAGAUUGGGUUCAGCAAUUUUGGUCAGAAAAGUCUAUGAAACAAAGAGAUCACUGAAACUGAGGGAGAACAAAUAAAAGGGAGAAAGUUAAAGCUACUGCCGAAUUUCAAUGCAUUUGGAGGUAUACUCACAGGAACUUUGAAAGGUUAUGAUCGGCUACUAAACCUGGUUCUUGAUAAUUCGAGUACUCAUUACAAUAAAGUUGCAUAAAAUACGGGAUGCUCUAGUUCUUUUUUAUACGCCUCAAUCUAGUGACAUGAUUAUUCUUCUUAAGCCCAUGGAUCUUUUCUAUUGGAAUCUUCACUCUUUAAGGAUGAGUCUUCAUGAACUGUAGUUUGAACUUCUUUAUUGGAGCGCAUAGAACUUUUCUUUCGCCUAUAUAAUUUUUUAACUAUAUAUUAGUCUUCUUAUAAUUUGAAUUUUUUUUAGCUAUCUACUGUUUGAUUAACAUUUAUUUUGUGAUAAAAAUUGAUUUUGACAUUUAUUUGUACUCGCAACACUUUUGAGAAUGUAAUAGGUUUUUAUAUUCAGCUUA